CACAAACGCACAUGCACCUACUUUCUACUUUCUAUUUUCCAGUCACCACUAUAUUUCUCCACUAUACGUGCUAUAGUGUGUCCAACGGCCAACUCCAAGGUACGAAGUGGAGAGGGGAUGAUGGUUUGGUUUUGAAUUUCUGAGACAAGACAAGAGUUCUUCCAUUCGAGAAUUUCUGUUUGUUAGUUCACUUUUCACUACGGUUUAAACUUUAAAGCUUUAAAGUGGAUGACAUAUCGCACAGUGCGCUCCAGUAAUCCAGUGAGAUAGUUAGUUGUAGUGUAUAGGUUUGUUUUAAUUAUUGAGUUUCUAUCUGUUGUUUCUCCUGUUUCCUGUGUUCUUCAUUUUUGUCUUCGUUCCUCUUCGUUACUGUGUCUGCUCCUGAGUCUACAGUGUCAGUGCAGCGAAGAAGCGAGUCCAAACAGCAGUGAAAUAACAAGAGCUUGCAUAGAUGAGGAAAUAUCAUCAGAUAAUCUUUACUUCCAUUGAGAGAGAUGGACAAUUUCCAGUCAGAAUGGGAGGAGAAAAUCGUUUAUAAAGCAUAUGAGGACAGUGGGGAGCGCUAAUAUUGGCCAAUGUGUCAAUAAUAUCUUGAGAAGAUUAAUGAUUGAUGAGCUGGCCAUGAAAUAAUUCUCAUAUACUGGCCGUGCAUCAAACGGGAACACAAAAACUCCAUUUCAUGGGAGUGAGAUAUCGAAAUGCAUACUGAUUGCUGUUCAAACGUUUUUUGGUGACAUUGCAAUUGAAGUGAAAUAUGAAUCGUUGGCGUCGAAAUGGUUUCAACAAGCCAGAACAAGGUUGUUGAGAAGGACCAAGAGCAGAGAGACUACGCCUCAUGAAGCUCAAAUCGAGGACGAUAGCAGUUCAAAGUAAAAAUAUAUAAUAAGUUAAAAAUUAAAAGUUCAAUUUUUGUAAUAUUUAAUAAAAAUCAUUGCAUU